rnacentral:lncRNA from 1 species
UAAUGAAAUAAUUUUGUUGAUUUUUGUAAUAAUCUAAUGGACUCCAAAUUUCUACUAUAACUUAGGAGUGGUAGUUAGAAAUCUCUGUAAAAGUUUCACACCCAUAGCUAAUCAUUUACCACUGAAAUGAAUUAUGGAAGUUAAAGAUAAGAAUAAAUAGUUAAGACAAAUUAAAUAAUGAUAAGGGUAAAAUGGUAACUUUUGGAAGAGGUACAAAAAAUAUUCAGAAACAAGAUAACUUUCCAAAUACAUGUUAAGCAACUCUAAAGUGACCCCACCCCUCUUUUGUGAAGUCAAAGUCGUUAAAAUCCUAUAUGUGUACACAAUCACCAUCAAGAUCGAGCUAAGUGCUUAAAUUUGAAAACACUGCAACUGUGACGAAAGUGUUGUAAGUGUCGAUCUAAGUGUAAUCAAUC